ensembl:lncRNA
CAGAGAGGAAUACUCCCCAAAUACAUGUGUGCCAAGCUUGUAGCGUCAUACCCAAGAAGGCUUGAGGCUGGUCUGAAUACUUAUUGUGUAUGUGUGUGUUCUCUCAUAGACAGAGUGUUUGGAAGGUGUCUGGAGUUACCUAGUGCGGACCUAUACACCUAUGAUGUGUCAGCCUCUGCUCUACAGCACCUGAGGAGUCUCCUCCAGAAACUGUCCCACAGAGGGUUGACAUGGCAGGAUGCUACCACCCAGCAGGUGAUCUCCAGAGAGCUUUCCAAGAUACGCAAGGUUCCUAUCCGAAGGCCGGAACCCCCUUCUGCCUCUCUGACACUCUAUGGUGGAGCCAGGAAGCUCAAGACUGGAAAGGGAGAGCUUGGCAUCCAGAAGUACCUGCAAGAGCUUGGUCUCCUUCCCCAGUCUGUUGGCACUGCUCGCCAGGGGCCCCAGCGAGAGAGCCCCACCACCAAGGUAAUAUGUGUAGGGCAUUUAAUCAUCCCCUUUUCUCUCUCUCUCUCUUCCCAGAAGGGCAGCUUGAGACAGAUCCCAGUGGUCAAGGAGAGUCAUCUGGAGUCUGGUCAGUUCAUGGUCUUGACCAUCAUCUCCAUGGUCCUGAUCAUGGGGGCGCUGGCAGUGUCUGGCUGGCUCUUCUGCCUGCGCCACCGCUCCCACCUCCAACUGAAGGAGAAACUAGCCAGCCUGGGGACUGACACCAGCGCUGAUGCAACCGCAACCUAUCAGGAGCUGUGUCGCCAGCGGAUGGCUGUGCGGACAUCGGAGCGUCCGGAGCGUGCGGAGUGCCCGGAGCCUCUGCGGCGCCUCUCGCGGCUGAACAGCUCGUCUUCUCAGUUCAGCGACGGGGGACCCAUAGCCAGCCCCUCGGCCCGUAGCUCCACUUCCUCCUGGUGCGAAGAGCCUGUCCCUUCCAACAUGGACAUCUCCACCGGCCACAUGAUACUGUCGUACAUGGAGGACCACUUGAAGAACAAGAACCGCCUGGAGAGGGAGUGGGAGGCGAUGUGUGGUUACCUGGCUGAGCCCGGUGACUGUGACGUGGGCCAGGGCCAACACAACACCAAGAGGAACCGCUCUGACACCGUGGUUGUCUAUGAUCAUUCCAGAAUCACCUUGAAGGCUGAGAAUAACCAUGGCAACUCGGAUUACAUCAAUGCUAGCCCAAUUAUGGACCAUGACCCGAGGAACCCCAUGUACAUCGCUUCACAAGGCCCUCUACCCUCCACCGUGGCUGACUUCUGGCAGAUGGUGUGGGAGAGUGGCUGCGUGGUCAUCGUCAUGCUAACGCCCCUGUCUGAAAAUGGAGUGAAACAGUGUCAACAGUACUGGCCAGACGAGGGCUCCAAUGUCUACCAUGUUUAUGAGGUGAACCUGGUGUCAGAACACAUCUGGUGUGAGGACUUCCUGGUCAGGAGUUUCUACCUGAAGAACUUGCAGACCAACGAGACACGCACUGUCACGCAGUUCCACUUCCUUUCCUGGGUAGACCACAGCAUCCCUGACUCAGCCAGGACACUGCUGGACUUCCGUAGAAAGGUUAACAAGUGCUACCGGGGUCGGUCUUGUCCAAUAAUUGUCCACUGCAGUGACGGGGCUGGCCGAAGCGGAACGUACAUCCUGAUUGACAUGGUCCUCAAUAGGAUGGCUAAAGGUGCUAAAGAGAUUGAUAUUGCCGCUACCCUGGAGCACUUGAGAGACCAAAGAGCCGGCAUGGUCCAGACAAAGGAGCAGUUUGAGCUUGCGCUGACAGCCGUAGCAGAGGAGGUGAAUGCCAUCCUUAAAGCACUUCCACAGUGAAACUCGACGCCGCCCCACACCGUGCCACAUCUCGCUGUCUAAACACAUGUUUUUUCUGCCCACUCAAGUCUGUCAUCUCGCUUUUGUCCCAAAUGGCACCCUAAUCCCUACGCAGUGCGCUACUUUUGAACAGGGCCCAUAAGGGUCUGGUCAAAAGUGGUACACUAUGUAGGGAAUAGGGUGGUGCCAUUUGGGACAUACAUACCUAUCUUCUCUUGUUUCUCUCUCCUCUGAUUCUCGCUCUUGGAAUACUUAUGAAUGUUGUGCCAGAUACUUGACCGACCUGGUCUUCUUAAGUGUGAUGUAUUCUUUUUGCAGUUGUGUUCCAGUGCCACUUACAGAUAGCUAGACAAAGUCACGUGUGUUCUCUCUCUCUCUUUGUGAUCUGAAUAAUCUAUUAUACUAAGAAUCAGAUAAUUGGUUAUUGAUGUGUGAAGAAUAUGAUAUUGUAUUCAAGGCCUGAACAUCUGUGUCCUGUAUAUAGAGAAGAUGCUUCAAAGAACAAUGUCGAAGUGAUCUUUACUAUUAAAGUUCUGAACCACAUUCUAUGGCCCUGUUCAAAUACAUUCGAAAUGUAUCCUUCCUUCCUUGAGAAUCUGUAAGUGAUAUACACUACCGGUCAAACGUUUAGAACACCUACUCAUUCAAGGGGUUUUUCUUUAUUUUUACUAUUUUCUACAUUGUAGAAUUGUAGAAUAACACAUAUGGAAUCAUGUAGUAACCAAAAAAGUGUUAAACAAAUCUAAAUAUAUUUUAUAUUUGAGAUUCUUCAAAGUAGCCAGCCUUUGCCUCGAUGACAGCUUUGCACACUUGUCAUUCUCUCAACCUGCUCCACCUGGAAUGCUUUUCUAACAGUCUUGAAGGAGUUCCCACACAUCCUGAACACUUGUUGGCUGCUUUUCCUUCACUCUGCGCUCCGACUUUUCCCAAAUCAUCUCAAUUUGGUUGAAGUCGGGUGAUUGUGGAGGCCAGGUCAACUGAUGCAGCACUCCGUCACUCUCCUUCUUGGUAAAAUAGCACUUACACAGCCUGGAGGUAUGUUCGGUCAUUAUCCUUUUGAAAAACAAAUUAUAGUCCCAUAAGCCCAAACCAGAUGGGAUGGCGUAUCGCUGCAGAAUGCUGUGGUAGCCAUGCCGGUUAAGAGUGCCUUGAAUUCUAAAUAAAUCACAGACAGUGUCACCA